CUAAGAAUCAGAAAUUAGUGGACCGUCGAAUAGAUCUGUUUUAUAAGUCUACAAAGUCAACCAAUCUAAAGACCAGAUCAACAAAACGAAAUAUUGGUAAUUAUGAGAAGACCCCUACAUCUGGUAAUGACAAGUUUCCAUAUAGGCAGAAGACAUUGUCACCGUGGAUUAUUAAAGGGAAUACUUAUGGAAAAACCUGCCACACUCCGCGAAGAAGACGUCGCCGAAAACCAUCUACUCCAAAGAGAAGUGCUUCUUCCAAUGACCCAGAUUUUCGAGGUGCCACGGUAUGGUUCAAUCGACCAACAACUCAAGAUGGACAGGGCAACCAACUCAUGAUAACCUCGUGCUUUAGCAAUACAAGUCACCACAAGAUGUUAAAAGCUAGAAAAACACACCCACACGAUUCAUUCUCCGAUUCUAAGUCUAGUUCUGAAAAUGAGGAACUUCAAGGAAACGCGACUUUC